UACGUAGGGGCCUAGCGUUGUCCGGAUUUAUUGGGCGUAAAGAGCUCGUAGGCGGUUCGGCAAGUCGGAUGUGAAAUCUCCACGCUUAACGUGGAGGGGCCAUUCGAAACUGCCGUGACUCGAGUCCGGUAGGGGAGUGUGGAAUUCCCGGUGUAGCGGUGAAAUGCGCAGAUAUCAGGAAGAACACCCGUGGCGAAGGCGGCUCUCUGGGACGGUACUGACGCUGAGACGCGAAAGCGUGGGGAGCGAACAGG
rnacentral:rRNA from 1 species